rnacentral:rRNA from 1 species
UACGUAGGGGGCAAGCGUUAUCCGGAUUUACUGGGUGUAAAGGGAGCGUAGACGGUUAUGCAAGUCUGAUGUGAAAACCCGCGGCUCAACUGCGGGAUUGCAUUGGAAACUGUGUAACUUGAGUACUGGAGGGGCAGGCGGAAUUCCUGGUGUAGCGGUGAAAUGCGUAGAUAUCAGGAGGAACACCGGUGGCGAAGGCGGCCUGCUGGACAGUAACUGACGUUGAGGCUCGAAAGCGUGGGGAGCAAAC